rnacentral:rRNA from 2 species
GAAUCAUCGAAUCUUUGAACGCACCUUGCGCCCCUUGGUAUUCCGAGGGGCAUGCCUGUUUGAGUGUCAUU